rnacentral:misc_RNA from 1 species
GAUGAAGAACGUAGCGAAAUGCGAUAAGUAAUGUGAAUUGCAGAAUUCAGUGAAUCAUCGAAUCUUUGAACGCUCAUUGCGCCGGCCAGUAGUCUGGCGGGCAUGCCUGUUCGAGCGUCAUUUCAACCAUCAAGCCCCAGGCUUGUGUUGGAGCCCUGCGGCUGCCGCAGCCUCCCAAAACCAGUGGCGGGCUCGCUAUCACACCGAGUGCAGUAGUUUACUCUUCGCUCAGGGCGUGUGGCGGGUGCUAGCCGUAAAACCCCCAACUUCUCAAGGUUGACCUCGGAUCAGGUAGGAAUACCCGCUGAACUUAAGCAUAUCAAUAAGCGGAGGA